rnacentral:rRNA from 1 species
UACGAAGGGGGCUAGCGUUGUUCGGAAUUACUGGGCGUAAAGCGCGCGCAGGCGGUUUUCCAAGUCAGUGGUGAAAGCCCGGAGCUCAACUCCGGAAUUGCCAUUGAAACUGCAAAACUUGAGUACGAGAGAGGUGAGUGGAAUUCCCAGUGUAGAGGUGAAAUUCGUAGAUAUUAGGAAGAACACCGGUGGCGAAGGCGGCCCACUGGUCCGGUACUGACGCUGAGGUGCGAAAGCGUGGGGAGCAAACAGG